GGGGAGGGAGCAGAGAGCCCUUCCUCUGUCACGUGACAGGGAGGGACCUUACGCCCAGACCCCAUGGGGGCUUCUGACCCGGAAGUGGCGCCCUGGGUUCGCUGCGACGCCAGGGCUAUGGUGGGAGCGGGCCCGGGAGCCCGGCGCGCCGAACCGGGCGCCCCGCCGGGGGCCGGGAUAUGGGGACUGCAGCCUCCGCGGCCGCCCCCGUCCUCUUCCCGGGGCGUGGAGGCGGCGGCCGUAGCGGCCCUGGGAGCCGGGGACGGCUCCGCGGCCACGGAGGCCUUGUUCCUGGCCUUGGGGGCCGGCGUGACUGCGCUGAGCCACCCCCUCUUCUACGUGAAACUGCUCAUCCAGGUUGGACAUGAACCACUGCCUCCCACUGUGGGGACCAAUGUGCUGGGGAGAAAGGUCUUCUACUUGCCUAAUUUCUUCACAUAUGCUAGACACAUUGUGCAAGUGGAUGGGAAGAGAGGACUAUUCCGAGGCUUGAGUCCAAGACUUAUGUCUAGUGCUCUCUCCACCCUAUCCCGGGGUAGUGUGAAAAAGACCUUCCCUCUGGAGGAGUUAGAACAUGUAUCCAACAAGGAUGAUGUGAAGACAUCACUGAGGAAGGUAGUGAAAGAGACUUCUCAUGAGAUGGUGGUGCAGUGUGUGUCCAGGGUGCUUUCUCACCCUCUGCAUGUCAUCUCGAUGCGCUGUAUGGUCCAGUUCGUGGGGCGGGAGGUCAAAUACAGUGGUGUGCUGAGCUCCAUUGGGAAGAUUUUCCAAGAAGAAGGGCUGCUGGGGUUCUUUGUGGGCUUGAUACCUCACCUCCUGGGAGAUGUGGUCUUCUUGUGGGGCUGUAACCUCUUGGCUCAUUUCAUCAAUGCUUAUUUGGUGGACGACAGUGUGAUUCAGCCAAGCACUGGCAGUUCGCAGUUACACCAAGUUUGUGAUGGGGAUUGCAGUGAGCAUGUUGACCUACCCUUUCCUCCUGGUUGGUGACCUCAUGGCUGUCAACAACUGUGGGUUGCUGGCAGGCCUCCCACCUUAUUCUCCUGUGUUCAAGUCCUGGAUUCAUUGUUGGCGAUAUCUGAGCAUGCAGGGUCAGCUUUUCCGGGGAUCAAGUCUGCUUUUCCGCCGAAUCUCAGCAGCAUCGAGCUUUUCCAUUGACUAAAUCAGAAUAACUUGACUACAAUAAUAAACAGACUAUCUCUGCCCAGCCCAAGUGAGGGCCUAAUUAUUGGGCUAUCUUGUAAGAUAACUGACUGUAUAAUACAACUAGAUUUGGAUGUUUGUCUUUCUGGUGGUUAUUAGUGGUUUUUCAGUUGUGUAGAUAGGGGAUGGGCUGGUAGGUAAGGGAAGUAGGGUUUUGGUAUGGUCUGAAAAAGUACUUAUUCUAUACAGAUUCUGAAUUAAUAAUUUCUAAGACUGCUUGGCAGAGCGGCACAAGGGGCAUUGGAGCAAUUUCUGGUAAAUAUCUCAGAGGCAUUGCAAAUAAAAUGAAAAGUAAUAUUAGUAAGGGCAUAGAG